AUUUGGUUAGGAUUUGAUUUAGGAUUAAUAUUUAGGAUUUGAUUAGGAUUUGGUGUAGGAUUUAGGAUUUUUUUAGGAUUUGAUUUAGGGUUUAUGGUUUGAUUAGGAUUUGAUUAGAGUUUGAUUUAAGAUUUAGGAUUUGAUUAGGAUUUGAUUAGGUUUAGGAUUUGAUUAGGAUUUGAUUUAGGAUUUAGGAUAUUAUUAGGAUUUAUUUAAGGUUUAAUAUUUAGUUAAUUUUUGGCCUAAAGUUUGAAUGAAGUCUAAUAGGAUUUUAAGUAGGAUUAAAUUAAAAUUGAAUUGAGAUAUAUUUGAGAUAUAUUUGUAAUCAUUUUAAUAUUUUUUAAAUUUUUUUUAUUAUUUCUUAAUAAUUCUUUUGAGGUUUCUUUGUAUUUGAUUAAAUCUUACUUAGUAUUGUUGUGGUCUAAUUAGAAUUUAAUUAGUAUUUUAUUAGAAUUAGAAUUUUGUUGUUGUAAUUUUCAUUCUACCUUCUAUAGUCAUAUAUCUAGAGCAUUUUCAA
rnacentral:lncRNA from 1 species